rnacentral:pre_miRNA from 1 species
UCUUAUGGAUGAUCAAAGAAGGGGGUUUCUUGAAAUGGAAUCCACUGCUAGUGAAGAUGCUAUGAA